ACCGGCGCACGGGUGCGUAACGCGUAUGCAAUCUACCCACUGCAGAGGGAUAGCCCGUGGAAACAUGGAUUAAUACCUCAUAAUACAGGGAGCCCAUCUGGGCAUAUUGUUAAAGCUCCGGCGGCAGUGGAUGAGCAUGCGUCCCAUUAGCUAGUUGGUAAGAUAACGGCUUACCAAGGCAAUGAUGGGUAGGGGUUCUGAGAGGAUGAUCCCCCACACUGGUACUGAGAUACGGACCAGACUCCUACGGGAGGCAGCAGUAGGGAAUAUUGGUCAAUGGACGCAAGUCUGAACCAACCAUGCCGCGUGCAGGAAGACGGCCUUCUGGGUUGUAAACUGCUUUUAUCAGGGAAGAAAAUACUCUUGCGAGAGUAAUUGCCGGUACCUGAAGAAUAAGCACCGGCUAACUCCGUGCCAGCAGCCGCGGUAAUACGGAGGGUGCAAGCGUUGUCCGGAUUUAUUGGGUUUAAAGGGUGCGUAGGCGGCCUAUUAAGUCAGUGGUGAAAGGUAUCAGCUUAACUGAUGACGUGCCAUUGAAACUGACAGGCUUGAGUACAGACGAGGUAGGCGGAAUUUAUGGUGUAGCGGUGAAAUGCAUAGAUACCAUAAAGAACACCAAUUGCGAAGGCAGCUUACUAGACUGUAACUGACGCUGAGGCACGAAAGCGUGGGGAGCGAACAGGAUUAGAUACCCUGGUAGUCCACGCCGUAAACGAUGAUUACUGGAUGUGUG
rnacentral:rRNA from 1 species